CUGAGAAUGUAGAUAGUUGAAUGUGUUUCUUCUUCCAUUCCCAUUUGUGGGAGAGAAGGUUGGCCUUACAUCUCUUCUUGUUCUAUUGUCAGAACGCUGCCUGGUUUCAUUUAUUCACAGUUCUGGAAGGGGCCCUCCAGAGGUCACCAUUCCAUGUAUCUGCCACCUGUCAGGGAUGCUUCUAAGCUGUGCAGACAGAUGGGUACCCUCCUAAUGUUUUGCUCCACCAUGACCUUCUCCAAUUUCUUGAAGAUAAUACACUAUGUCAAAAGCGUACUUCAUUAAAUCUAGAACUUAUUUUUGGAAAGGUAGCAUGUCUUUAAAAAUCUGUUUCUAUUUUGAAGAUGUAAGCUGAAAAACUGCAAGAUGGAUAAUGAUAGCAUUCAGGAAACACUCCAGGGAGUAGAAAAAGACAUGUUGGUAAUACUGCCUCAUUCCUACUCCUGGCCUUAAAUUACAUUUUGAACAAUUUAUUGAAAGCUUAUUGCUGAGAUUUCCUUUAGUCCUCUGCAUGU